AAAAAAAAUUUAGAAAGUCGUGGUUUUAUAUGAAAGUACCUACAAGGGAAAUCUUUAGUGUCUUGUAUAUCAACGAGCCGUAAUGGUGUGUGAGGAGCGGUGAGGCUUAUCUUUUGAUUUUAACAGCGCAUACAGCGACCAUGUGUGCAGCUGGCCCCCUCGUUAUAUUUGGGAUUGGACGAAACCAGUACGAGUUCUCUUCGGCGACGCCAUUGCGAGUAAACAGCUCAAUCCAACGUCUGCUUGCUUCGAUAAACAAAAGACUCGAGUUUAACCAAAUUGGCUCGGAGCAAAGUAAUUAGGAAGAUCAGCAGUCAGAAAAGUGACGUCAGCGACUUGGGUGGUCGUUUUCAACGGAUACGUGAGUUGCUCGAGGAACAAAUUGCAAGUAUUAAACGGUGGAAGAGCUUUUACAAUCUCGGGGUACCUUCUGAUAUGGAAUCGGACAAAUACUCCAGAGAAGUAACCAGAGCCUGCGACAACAAUUUCAAUUAUUUUUCGUCGUAAAAUAGGCUGCAAUUACAGAAAGCGAAAAAAGAAGACGAUUUAUUCGGAAAAAAUCUUUGCAGUAAUGACCUCCCGCACCUGCACUGUGGAAAUUGGACGACGACAAGGAGGAAAUUAACCGGAGCUCGAACCUGCUGCAAUUUAAUUAAGAAGAGGGAAACUGUUUUGCAUUUCAAUGGACGAGCGUUCGGUGUAUUGUCUGCUGAAUAUAUUUCAGAGCAAAAGGAUAACUCGGGUUGUGUGGCUACGUGGAUGGGAAAUUUAAAGGAAAUGGACGCUGAAUUAUAAUAACGUAGAGAAAUGGAGGAGAGGAACUCUUUAUUUACAUAAAUUGGGAGAAUGGGACGACGGUUCCGGGGCGGUGGGAGGGACUACCGGGUUUAUCUUCUCGUGAUAAUUGCAUUUACAUCAUUCAGGAAAUGGUCGCAUGACUAAUGUUAAUACAGGGAUAUUUACCCGAAUUAUUGCUUAAAUAAUUAAUGUAAUUAGCAAUAAUGUUAAAACAUUAUUUUUAUUGCAGAAAUGUGUUUCUGAAAGUAUACCUAUAAAUAUUACUUAUAACAAAAAAGCAACUAAGAGACUGAAAAGUACAAAUUAGUAUUAAGAUUAACAAAAUUUGAUGAUUUUUGUGUAAAGAAAGAUAAGUAAGAGAUGAGGCUAAUUGAUUCCUUGUACUGCUUAACAUUUAUUUACAGAAUUAUUUAAGACCCUAUUUCAUGCUUUUUUAUGUUUAAUAUUGAAUUGUGUGUUUUUUAGUCAUACUUCUUAUUAAUGGUUUACAAGAAAAAUUGUUAUUUCGAAAAGGAAACAUGAAAAUAUGUGUAAAAAAUGCAAAAACGUGAUUUCCUAGAAAUUUACUUAUCUACAAGGUUUGACAGUGUUUAUUAUUUAAAAAUAGAGUUUUAUUCAAAUAUUAUAUGAAUGUAUUUGAGUCCAAACUGCCCAUAUUUAUUUAAUUAUCAUUAAAAACAAACAGUAUUAUUAAAAAAAUAUAAAUAUUUCAACUUAUUUUUUAAUUUCUAUUCUGCAAAGUUUAAUUAAAUUCAACAUAUUACUUUGAGAAAUAAAACAACAGUAUCAGAAAAAAAGCAGGUUAAGGAAAGUGAAAUAAAUGUUUUAAAUUAUUUAGUUUUAAUUAUAUUUAGUUUACAGAGAUAAUACGUGCCUCCUACGUAACUUUAAGAUUUAGUAUAAAUUUAGUGUCAGAACUUUUAUAAAAAACAUAAUAAUUUUUACGUCUUUAAAUUUAUAAGAAACCUAUACAAUACAAUUUUUAUGGAACAAAACUUCUAGAAAAAUGUGUAUAUUUUUUUAAACGAAUAGUAGGUAAUAAUAGUUUGUUAAAUAGUUAGAUAUUUUUUUAGUGCGUAGAAUUUUGUUAAGAAGUUUUUAUAUUUAUUUAUACUGAUUUAGAGAAUAUAAAUUAAUAAAUAAUUCUCGCGUUUCGACUGCUCAAUUUUCUGAUAAUUAUGUCUGAUAAUUUUUGACGUGAAUUCAAACAGUUAAAUAUAAUUGAUUAGCUGUAUAAUAGGAAACAAAAUCAAUAAAGUCUCGUCUGCAUUGUA